rnacentral:tRNA from 1 species
GACCGCGUAGCUCAGUUGGCAGAGCAUUGGGCUAGUAUUCCAAAGGUUGUAGGUUCGAUUCUCACCGUGGUCA